rnacentral:rRNA from 1 species
AUGAAUUGCAUAAGUUGGAACUGUCGGGGUGCGGCCAACAAACCGACAGUUCAAGAUCUGGUGGGCCUUACGAGGACCACCCAAGCAAAAUUGGUCUUCCUUAGUGAAACAAGAAUAAAGGCUGAAAAGGUUCGUCGUUUGCGAGGUAGAUUAGGCUUAAGAGGUUUUGUUGGUAUUGAUAGUAACGGCCUGAGUGGAGGUUUAGCACUCUUUUGGUCUGAUGAUAUUUUUGUGGAUGUUCAAAAAAUAAAUGACAGAUACAUUGAUGCUCAUAUCCUUGUGUCCGAUAAUGAUCCACUAUGGCAUUUGACCUGUGUGUAUGGAGAACCCCGAGUGGAAAAUCGUCACUUGAUGUGGGAGAAAUUGCAAAAUUUGAAGGCUCGAUCACAGCUGCCAUGGUGCGUGAUAGGGGAUUUUAAUGAAGCUUUAUGGUCCUUUGAGCACUUCUCGAGUACACUACGUGGUGAAAGACAGAUGUUAGCGUUCAGGGAUAACUUGGAGAUGUGCCAAUUGUCAGAUUUGGGCUUCUCGGGUCUACCCUUCACUUAUGAUAACAAGCAGGCGGGCCGGUGCAAUGUGCGAGUCCGACUAGACCGAGCAGUUGCAGAU